rnacentral:rRNA from 1 species
UGAGAGCGGCGGACGGGUGACUCAUGCCUAAGAAUCUGCCUGGUAGUGGGGGAUAACGUUCGUAAACGGACGCUCAUACCGCAUACGUCCUACCGGAUAAAGCAGGGGACCUUCAGGCCUUGCGCUAUCAUAUGAACCUAUGUCAUAUUAUAUAUUUGGUGAGGUAAUGGCUCACCAAGGCCACUAUCCGUAACUGGUCUGAGGGAUGAUCAGUCACACUGGAACUGAGACACGGUCCAACUCCUACGGGAGGCAGCAGUGGGGAAUAUUGGACAAUGGGCGAAAGCCUGAUCCAGCCAUGCCGCGUGUGUGAAGAAGGUCUUCGGAUUGUAAAGCACUUUAAGUUGGGAGGAAGGGCACUUACCUAAUACGUGAUUGUUUUGACGUUACCGA